rnacentral:rRNA from 1 species
UACGGAGGAGGCAAGCGUUCUCCGGAAUUAUUGGGCGUAAAGCGUCCGCAGGUGGCACCUCAAGUCUGCUGUCAAAGACCGGGGCUUAACCCCAGAAAGGCAGUGGAAACUGAAGUGCUAGAGUGCAGUAGGGGUAGAGGGAAUUCCCGGUGUAGCGGUGAAAUGCGUAGAGAUCGGGAAGAACAUCGGUGGCGAAAGCGCUCUGCUGGACUGCAACUGACACUCAGGGACGAAAGCUAGGGGAGCGAAUGGG